AUGUAAAGCAGUAUAUGGGGAUGUUUCCCACACAUUCAACGGCGGGAAUAGGGAAAAAUAAAAGGGAGAUAAAAUCUCCCUUUUUUGGUUAACU
rnacentral:sRNA from 1 species